rnacentral:rRNA from 1 species
UACGUAGGGUGCGAGCGUUAAUCGGAAUUACUGGGCGUAAAGUGUGCGCAAGCGGCAGAGCAAGUCGAGUGUGAAAGCCCCGGGCUUAACUUGGGAAUUGCGCUCGAAACUACUUUGCUGGAGUGUGGCAGAGGAAGGUGGAAUUCCACGUGUAGCGGUGAAAUGCGUAGAGAUGUGGAGGAACACCAAUGGCGAAGGCAGCCUUCUGGGCCAACACUGACGCUCAUGCACGAAAGCGUGGGGAGCAAACAGG